CUUUAGGGCUAGCGUCGCGCGUUCACCGCCGGAGGUAGAGCACCGGAUGGACGAGGGGGCUUCGCCGCCUACCGAAUCCAACCGAACUCCGAAUGCCGGCGGCCCAGAGCGCGGCAGUCAGAGCAUGUGGGCUAAGCUGUGUGCUCGAGAGGGAAACAGCCCGGACCGCCCGCUAAGGUCCCCAAGUUCCAGCCGAGUGGCAAAGGAUGUGCGUCCGCCCAGACAACCAGGAUGUUGGCUUAGAAGCAGCCAUCCAUUCAAAGAGUGCGUAACAGCUCACUGGUCGAGUGGAC
rnacentral:rRNA from 1 species